rnacentral:rRNA from 1 species
CCUACGGGGGGCAGCAGUGGGGAAUCUUGGACAAUGGGCGCAAGCCUGAUCCAGCCAUGCCGCGUGAGUGAUGAAGGCCUUAGGGUCGUAAAGCUCUUUCGCCUGUGAAGAUAAUGACUGUAGCAGGUAAAGAAACCCCGGCUAACUCCGUGCCAGCAGCCGCGGUAAUACGGAGGGGGUUAGCGUUGUUCGGAAUUACUGGGCGUAAAGCGCGCGUAGGCGGACUGGAAAGUUGGGGGUGAAAUCCCAGGGCUCAACCCUGGAACUGCCUCCAAAACUAUCAGUCUAGAGUUCGAGAGAGGUGAGUGGAAUUCCGAGUGUAGAGGUGAAAUUCGUAGAUAUUCGGAGGAACACCAGUGGCGAAGGCGGCUCACUGGCUCGAUACUGACGCUGAGGUGCGAAAGUGUGGGGAGCAAACAGGAUUAGAUACCCGAGUAGUC